rnacentral:lncRNA from 1 species
CAAGGCCAAUGCACCUCCACCCAUGAACACUGAAUCUCAUUCUCCCCCUUUGUAAUAAAGGACUGCACUGCUUAUUCUAGAAUGUGGAUUAUAAAGGUGCUGGAAGAUGGAGUGCUAUGGAGAGGAGCUUGUGGCAUAUGUGUUUUUCUGAGCUGUCACUUCUGUGAGCUGGGCUGGAGUAUUGUCCUGUCAAGUCCUGUCAUGAUCUAAGUAUCAAAGGAGCCACCCACAAGUGAAGGAUACUAAAAAUGAAAAGCCAGGCUGCAAACCCCAGGGGAGAAACAUGACAAGGAAAGAGCCUGCAGAGAACAGUGCCUUUGCAUGUACAGGUCUGUCUGCAGGAACAUUCUGCUGACUUCUGUCCAUCCCUUUUCACUCAGCUUUCGUCAAUCCAACUGAUUUUCAGUCCACAGACCCCAAGCCUGCAGGAAGCUCUUCAGAGACUAAGUAAGCCCUUGUAGCAAGCCUGAAAAGGUAAAUGUAAUUACGGAUGCCUAUCAUAAUGUGACCAAAAGCAACCUUAUAACAUUUAGCAAGCUGGAAAUAAUAUUGUGUAUCUUCUUUGCUAUUAUAAAAAAUGCACCUUCAUGGAUUUCUUUUUUACUGCAAAGGAAAAGGAAAUGAAAAGAUAAUUUAUGAAUAGCAUUGAAAAUGCAAAUGAGAAAUCUUGCCUUGGUUAAUGCCAUCCAUAUCAGACUUCUCUCACUAUUAGGUGGUAAGAUCUUCUUAAAUGAAGAGAUUGGAUUGAUGUGGGAAAUGUAGUUAUUUUCGGUGGAGUAGGAUUAAAAGUCCAUUUAUCAUAAGAAUAGUCUUUACUUUUUUUAACCAUGUAAGAUGAGCUUCCUUAAAAGUAAAGCAGAUAUAACUUGGAUGCCAAAUUAGUGAAUGAAAGUUUGAUGAGGAACUAAAUAUUUAUAUAGUUUCAAAGUAUCCUCCCCCAAUAUUAUUCAUUAUAAUGAUAAAAAGAAUCACUUUUUAGUGGAGAAAUGUGGCAGACACCACCUUACAACAGAGAUCAAAGCAAGUAUUGAAGCUGUCCUCACAGGGCUAACAAGAAUUCUGGACAGAAAUAGAGUCAUAACUAAGCAUUAAUCAGGCUGCACUUUGACCUACUUCCUUGUAACUGAAAGUCACUAGAUCCUGACCAUUUGCUUCCCCAUUGCUCCUAAAGAUAGGAUUUCUGACAUUAGAGUCAUAAGGGUUUUGUUUAAGAUUGAGUUUCUGAUGUUAGAAUCAUAAAGCUUUUGUUUAAGAAUUGCUGAAGAUGUUUUUCAGAUUCUGAAGUCCGGUGAAACAGCUGACGCCAACCAGUUUGAAGACCCCACAUAGGAACAGAAUCAGCAUGAGGACAGUUUCUUCAUCUGUCUGUCCUAUGAUUUCACCCUGCACUCUUUGACCAAUCAACAAUCUUCACACUUCUGCCUGUUCUAAAACUCUUAUAAACUUUAGCCCCAAACUCCUCACGGAGGUGGAUUUGAGGUUUCCUCCCAUCUCUUUAUUCGGUAGCCCUCCAAUUAAAUCUCUUUCUCCUGCAACUUGACAUCUUGGCAUAUUGAUUUGCUGCACAUAUUGGGCGCUGGACCUAUUAUGGCUAUAGUAUCACAAAUAUUGAGAUAAAAUGACAUCUUUUGCCUCCUGAUAUGAUGUAUUGAGAACAUGAGUUACCUCUCUGGUAGAAACACUAAAAAACCUCAAAUUGGGGGGCUAUUCUAUAAAACAACUGGCCUGUGUUUUUCAAGUGUAAAUGGUCAAAAAAGGGGCAAAAUAAUUGUUUAUGAUUAAAAUAAACUAAAAAUAAAAACUAAAUGUAAUGCAUAAUUCUCGGUUGAAUCCUAUACUAGAGGAAGAUAAAAUAGGUAUAAAGGGCAU